GACGAAGGUGGCGAGCGUUAUUCGGAUUUACUGGGCAUAAAGCGCGCGUAGGCGGCUCGGUCAGUCGGAGGUGAAAGCCCACAGCUCAACUGUGGAACUGCCCUCGAUACUGCCGAGCUUGAGUGUAGGAGAGGUGACCGGAACUCCAGGUGUAGCGGUGAAAUGCGUAGAUAUCUGGAGGAACACCAGAGGCGAAGGCGGGUCACUGGACUAUUACUGACGCUGAGGUGCGAAAGCUAGGGUAGCAAACAGG
rnacentral:rRNA from 1 species